rnacentral:misc_RNA from 1 species
GAGAUUUAAACAUAAUGUAAUUAAAUAUUUUAGAGUUGGAUAAGUGAGGUGGGAUUAUACAUGAUAAAGCAUGCCCACUUCAAUAAGUGAAGCGGGUGGAAUCCCAAGUGCAGUUGCAGGGCACCUGCUAUUGCGUCUAAGAAACCCAUAAACAAUGUCAAUGGCAAACUUCUUCAGGAAAGAUGAUGCCUCACUUGCUUUCACACUAGUAUUGCUAAUCAUGUAAGCCACACCUGCUUCUUUUGCCUCCAUCAGUUCCUCUACUUCCUCGCUUACUUCUAUAUUUAUUUUAAACCUCACUUUCCUUGUCCCAGCACCAGUAGUACCCUUCUCAUUUGCCUCUAUUAUUGCCAUUUCUUGGCUUUGAACUUGACAUUUCAGGAAUCUUGACAUGUUUUCAAUCAGAUGAGUUUCCAAGUCAUGGCUGUCCCUCACAUCCUUGUACCCGUAUCUGACCAGAGCGAUGACAUAAGACUUCAGUACUCAGCAAUUCAGCUGAAAAGACAAAAAAAAAUUCCAAUGCAUAGAGUGUGGGCUGAAUUUUACCUAACAAUGCACCGGAACAGAGGGAAUUCUGGAGGUCCUAUCCUCACAAAAUGGAAACGCUCACCAACUGGAACUUUUGGGAUCAUCAAAGACUGAAGGGUCACGAAUAUGAGAAUCUGAUGGAAUGCGGGAAAGUUUGUGACAAAAUGAGCGAACAUUGGGGGCACACCAUUGGUAACAUCAGAGUAAACUAGGCAAAUUCCUGGAACUCUUGUUAUUCCCAGGUUUGAUCCUAGGGUCAGCAGGCUGUCCAAGCUAACCUUGUUCUCCAUCUCAAACGCAAGCUUUUUUGAAGUUCCGUAAUGCCACGUUGACAUUAGAGACAAGAUUAGGAGAGAGACCACUAGGGGAAGCCAUCCUCCUUUGUGUACCUUGGCAAGGCAUGCAGAGAAAUACGACAAUUCCACAAAUCCAAACACCAAUACAAACAGUAAAGCCCAGAAAACAUUUCGAUUCCACACAGUGCUAAUGAUCAAAAACAUCAACAAGGUUGUGACGAACAUAACUACAACCACAGCAAGACCUGUACAUAAACAACAAAAUCACAAGGCUUGAUUAUAAUAUGCUCAUACACGAAAUUAAACAGGAAGAGGAGAGAGGGAUGUAAUGCAAACCGUAUGCAUUGCCAAUCAUAGCAGUGUCUCUGAAUCCAAUAACAACAGCAAGACACAACAGCAUUAGUAUCCAGUUCACCUCUGGUAUGUAUAUCUGCCCAUGUAUAUUAUUUGAUGUGUGCACUAUCUUUACUCGUGGGAAGCAACCCAGUGCCCUGGACUGACUAAUGAUGGAGAAAGUUGCCGAGAUUAUUGCUUGGCUACCCACCACAGUUGCCAGGGUUGCAAUGAGAAACACUGGCCAAAAUAUUACCUCUGAAGGGCAUAGAAGGAUGAGGAAAAGGAAGAAAAUUUGAAAAUUAUCUUACUAAACAUGCUCCAAUUCAAGAGGGGCAUCUAAUUCUUUCACAAGUAAGAGCAGCCUUGCAAUUUUCCAGUCUAUAGAAAUAUAUUCAAGCUUACCUGGGAUAGCCUUGUAAAAACUUCUCUGAAGAUCCUCUUUGUGCAUGGAUAGGUAGGCAGCUUCACCCAUAUAAGCCAGAACCAAGCAAGGAUACACAAUUACUGUAAAAGCAAUCUAUUUGAAGAAGGCAUGGAUUUUCAAUAUUCAUGUUUCUUUAAAGAUUAUUCAAGAAUAAAACAUAGAAAAUAGUGGAAAAUAGAUUACCCUGAGAGAAAGUUGUGAGAAAUGGCCAAGAUCAGCAAAC